CCUACGGGAGGCAGCAGUGAGGAAUAUUGGUCAAUGGGCGCGAGCCUGAACCAGCCAAGUAGCGUGAAGGAUGACUGCCCUACGGGUUGUAAACUUCUUUUAUAAAGGAAUAAAGUGAGGCACGGGUGCCUUUUUGUAUGUACUUUAUGAAUAAGGAUCGGCUAACUCCGUUCCAUUAGCCGCGGUAAUACGGAGGAUCCGAGCGUUAUCCGGAUUUAUUGGGUUUAAAGGGAGCGUAGAUGGGUUGGUAAGUCAGUUGUGAAAGUCUGCGGCUCAACCGUAAAAUUGCAAUUGAUACUGGCAGACUUGAGUACAGUAGAGGUAGGCGGAAUUCGAGGUGAAGCGGUGAAAUGCGUAGAUAUCACGAAGAACACCGAUUGCGAAGGCAGCCUACUAAACUGCCACUGACAUUGAGGCUCGAAAGUGUGGGUAUCAAACAGGAUUAGAUACCCCAGUAGUC
rnacentral:rRNA from 1 species